GCAGAGCACUCCUAGGGAGGCAGCAGUGGGGAAUAUUGCACAAUGGGCGCAAGCCUGAUGCAGCCAUGCCGCGUGUAUGAAGAAGGCCUUCGGGUUGUAAAGUACUUUCAGCAGUGAGGAAGGUGGAUAUGUUAAUAGCAUAUUCAUUUGACGUUUAGCUGCAGAAGAAGCACCGGCUAACUCCGUGCCAGCAGCCGCGGUAAUACGGAGGGUGCGAGCGUUAAUCGGAAUUACUGGGCGUAAAGCGCAUGCAGGUGGUUUGUUAAGUCAGAUGUGAAAGCCCGGGGCUCAACCUCGGAAUUGCAUUUGAAACUGGCAAACUAGAGUACUGUAGAGGGGGUAGAAUUUCAGGUGUAGCGGUGAAAUGCGUAGAGAUCUGAAGGAAUACCGGUGGCGAAGGCGGCCCCCUGGACAGAUACUGACACUCAGAUGCGAAAGCGUGGGGAGCAAACAGGAUUAGAUACCCUGGUAG
rnacentral:rRNA from 1 species